CGAGCUCGCCAGACAGUCGCCGCCGGUUUUCCGGGGGAGGAAAGUCCGGGCUCCGCAGGGCAAGGUGCCAGGUAACGCCUGGGCGGCGUGAGCCGACGGAAAGUGCAACAGAAAGUAAACCGCCUAAGUGCCUUCGGGCAACGGUAAGGGUGAAAUGGUGCGGUAAGAGCGCACCGCGUGGCUGGCAACAGUCCACGGCGAUGGUAAACCCCACCUGGAGCAAGACCAAAUAGGAAUCCAAUGGCGUGGCCCGCGCUGGAUUCGGGUAGGUUGCUUGAGGUCUGUGGUGACGCAGACCCUAGAUGAAUGACUGUCCAAGACAGAACCCGGCUUAUCGGCGAGCUCGCCUU
rnacentral:RNase_P_RNA from 1 species